CAAAACAAGACGUUGUUAAGACGGCCAUCUAAACACGCAUUUUGUGUCGCUGGUCGGCAACGAAAUACAAAUAAAGAAACGGGAGCAAGAGUCUUCCCCGGGAUACAUACCGCUUGUGCCAAAUGCUAAAGUCAAGAAAGGAAAAUUUGGUUUAUUUGGUCACAAACGAAGCAAGUCGGAAACGGAAGCCGAAGGUUUCAUUUGUCCGCUAGAUCUAGCUCUACCCUUUGAUAAACUCAAAAUAAGUGCCUUACAAUAUCAGGGGAAAGAGCAAGAUGCCAAGGCAGCUAAAGAAAUCGGUGCAUACUCUAAAGAAAUUUCAACUCUAACAACUCUGGUAGAAGACAUGGACACAGGAGAAUCUGUUUGAUUUUAGAAACAAAACAAAAAUAAUCAACUUGGAAAAGAAAGUUUCUUUGACAGUGUUCCAUCAUCCAAUGUAUGAGACCUGGUCAACAAUGUGGAACUUGAGCUCAUACCUACAAAAUUUAUAAUCAAACAAACCAAAAAAGAAUUAUGUAAAGUUCGAUUAGCGAAAUAGAACUAUGUGAUUAGUGUACAGAAACAGAAAUAAAGCACACCAAUAUUAUGAAAAUUGAAGAAAAUAUGUUUGAACUAGUUUACCAGUAAAUCAGGGAGAUGUGUAUUUUUAUGGUUGACUUUUUUUCUUUUUUUUCACAGAAAAAUUACAAAGUGAUCUUUUGUGACUGUAUAUGCAUAACAUAGACUUGUGUGUCACUUUAGAAAAAAUAAUCACUUAUUUUUAAGUGAAACAUAUUUUUGCUUAAGUAUUCAAAAAGAUAAGCAAUUGAAUUGAGUAUCUAUGCAUUUAUUAGUUUUAGAGGGAAAGUAACUUCCAAUUUUCCUUUAUAGUUACUUGGAUUCUUGGGCAAGGUUUAUUGUACAGGGAUUUGUGUCCAUGAUUUAUCCCAACUUGUGUAAAACAAGGCAUGGCUUAUGCCACCAAUAUAACUUGAGGCACCAGGCUGCACAUCCUUGAGUUUGACCAACCAUUUAAUUAUUGCUGGCAGUGUAAAAACACAAAUCUUGACAUAAGAUCCUUAAAAUUAGAUAAAGAACAAUUUCAUUUGAAAUUGAAAUUCUAAACAAGUCUGUUUACAUAGUGUUGGCAGAGUAUGGGUUAACUAUGAACACGAUCAGGUCUUGGUGAUAUAUCUAAUUCAUGUGAUUCACGAGUCUGUUUAUUCAGGGAAAGGAAUUGGGAGUGAUGGCCAAGUGGUUAAAGCAUUUGCCUCCAACCCAGGGAUCAUGGGUUUCGAGCCCAACUGAGGUAACAACCUGAUUUCCUGGUUGAUUAACCAGCACUGGUUAGUUCUUGGAAAGGAGACAUGAGAUUUGUUGGAAUAAGCUUGAAGCUGCAUACACAAUAGACCAUAAAUUAAUGUUUUAACUUUGAAAAGAUAUAUCUUUGUGAGUAGUGCUAGUUCAAAUGAAGUGGAGAUCUGGAGAUAGCAAUGUAUGCUAUUUUAAAUUUUGUUUUAUCAAUGUUUUUUCUUUUCUAUUUUUUUCUUUAACCUUUUUUUUCUUUCAUAACUUUGUGCCUGUCCGGAGAAAAACAGUAUGUGUUGUAUACUGGUUAUAUACUUUUGUAAUUUCUUACAUGAUAAAGUCAUUUUUUUUUAAAUUUUUAAUUAAAAAAUGUCUUUAGAAGGUUCAAGGCAACAAUGUCAUAACUUAUUCUUUAAUUUUCGUUAAGUUAUGACAUUUAUUCUUUUGAAGUGCUUCUCUUGAACUGCUAUAUACUUCCUUUCUGAAUAUCAGCUGCCCUUUUUGUCAUAAACGGUAGUGGAGAAAUGUAUAAUUUCUUCAAUGUUAAAAGCCAUAGUUGGAGACCUGUGUCACCUGACCCUUAACAACUUCUUUAUUCAUAAAUAUAAACUUGAUCAUCGUAUAUCUAGAUGGUAUAAAGAGGUGACAUGUUGAUCAAGGGGACUGACUGCCUGAGGUGUCAUACCAUGUAGCAUGGUUGACAACCAUUUUGUCUUGUCACAAUAAUACAUAGACUAUUCCAUGGUUGCGUUUUCUUCAUGCUAAUUGGCUAUAUAUAUUUAAGUUAUUUUUAGCUCACCUGUCACAAAGUGACAGGGUGAGCUUUUGUGAUCGCUUUUCGUCCGGCGUCCGUCCGGCGUCCAUAAACUUUUACUUUAAAUGACAUCUCCUCAUAAACCACUAAGCCAAAUUCAUCCAAACUUCACAGGAAUGUUCCUUUGGUGGUCACCUUUAAAAAUUAUUCAAAGAAUUUAAUUCCAUGCAGAACUCUGGUUGCCAUGGCAACCAAAAGAAAAAAACUUUAAAUAUCUUCU